GGGGGCAUAGCUCAGCUGGGAGAGCAACAGACUGAAGUCCUACAUUCUUUAGGUGUCUUGGCUUCUGGAGGUCCCCAGUUCGAUCCUGGGUGCCCCCA
rnacentral:tRNA from 1 species